CACCCCCACCACAACUGGAGAGAAGGGAAAUUUACUCUCUUCAAUGAUUUAUCUAUCUAUGGGUCUGUUAACCUAGUAAUAAGCACUCAAUAACAUAGGUCAAAGCACAUCCAGGCUAUUUCUCUCUUUGACUGUUUUUUGGGGACACCAGUAAGUCCCUGACAGACUACAAUGCUUUUUGCAGGUAUCAUCAACAGGGCUUGUUAAUAGACCCACUUCCCAGUGACGAAAUGGGAGGCCUGGCAGGUGUUUCUGUCCUUUAGGAGUCUGUGAACAGGGCCCGAGGAGCAGGCCCAAGCAGAAGCAAAGGAAACCCAGGCUCUAUAAUUUGGCACAUCUGAUGCCUCCAGUGCCUGUCUCCUCUGGCUCCUCCCAGCCGUCUUUUACCCUGGACCAUCCCUAAGGUGUUCCUUCUUGAGAGGACCCACUCCCCAGCACCUGGCCCUCUUGAACUCCCUAAACAGGGUCUACUGGGCUGGAGAGAUGGCUCAGCGGUUAA